rnacentral:sRNA from 1 species
UAUUAGCCCCGAUAGAAAUAAAAAUCCUAGGUUUACCUAGAGAUUAUAAUGUAUAGCGGGAAAAUGG